AGGCUUGACCUCCUUGAAGGGUCGUUCGAGACCAGGACGUUGAUAGGUCGGGUGUGUAAGCGCAGUAAUGCGUUCAGCUAACCGAUACUAAUUGCCCGUAAGGCUUGAUCCU
rnacentral:rRNA from 1 species